CUAUGAGAACAAUUAGUGGCAGACGGGUGAGUAAUGCAUAGGAAUCUACCUAGUAGUAUAGGAUAGCCACUAGAAAUGGUGGGUAAUACUGUAUAAUCCCUGCGGGGGAAAGAUUUAUCGCUACAUGAUGAGCCUAUGUUAGAUUAGCUAGUUGGUGGGGUAAUGGCCUACCAAGGCAGUGAUCUAUAGCUGGUCUGAGAGGAUGAUCAGCCACACUGGAACUGAGACACGGUCCAGACUCCUACGGGAGGCAGCAGUGGGGAAUAUUGGACAAUGGGCGCAAGCCUGAUCCAGCUAUGCCGCGUGAGUGAGGAAGGCCUUAGGGUUGUAAAACUCUUUCAGUGGGGAAGAUAAUGACGGUACCCACAGAAGAAGUCCCGGCAAACUCCGUGCCAGCAGCCGCGGUAAUACGGAGGGGGCAAGCGUUGUUCGGAAUUAUUGGGCGUAAAGGGCAUGUAGGUGGUUUGGUAAGUUAAAGGUGAAAUGCCAGGGCUUAACCCUGGAGCUGCUUUUAAUACUGCCAGACUGG
rnacentral:rRNA from 1 species